rnacentral:rRNA from 1 species
AUUGAACGCUGGCGGCAGGCUUAACACAUGCAAGUCGAGCGAGCGGCGGACGGGUGAGUAAUGUCUGGGAAACUGCCUGGGGGAGGGGGAUAACGACGGGAAACGGUAGCUAAUACCGAAUACCAGAGGAUGUGCCCAGAUGGGAUUAGCGAGUAGGUGGGGGAAUGGCUCACCAAGGCGACGAUCCCUAGCGGGUCUGAGAGGAUGACCAGCCCCACUGCAACUGAGACACGGUCCAGACUCCUACGGGAGGCAGCAGUGGAGAAUAUUGCACAAUGGGCGCAAGCCUGAUGCAACCAUGCCGCGUGUGUGAAGAAGGCCUUCGGGUUGUAAAGCACUUUCAGCAAGGAGGCGUUACUCGCAGAAGAAGCACCGGCUAACUCCGUGCCAGCAGCCGCGGUAAUUC